rnacentral:rRNA from 1 species
GUGGGGAAUAUUGGACAAUGGGCGCAAGCCUGAUCCAGCCAUGCCGCGUGUGUGAAGAAGGCCUUCGGGUUGUAAAGCACUUUUGUUGGGAAAGAAAUCCUGUCGGCUAAUACCCGGCGGGGAUGACGGUACCCAAAGAAUAAGCACCGGCUAACUUCGUGCCAGCAGCCGCGGUAAUACGAAGGGUGCAAGCGUUACUCGGAAUUACUGGGCGUAAAGCGUGCGUAGGUGGUGGUUUAAGUCUGCUGUGAAAGCCCUGGGCUCAACCUGGGAAUUGCAGUGGAUACUGGAUCACUAGAGUGUGGUAGAGGGAUGCGGAAUUUCUGGUGUAGCAGUGAAAUGCGUAGAGAUCAGAAGGAACAUCCGUGGCGAAGGCGGCAUCCUGGGCCAACACUGACACUGAGGCACGAAAGCGUGGGGAGCAAACAGGAUUAGAAACCCCUGUAGUCC